AGACUUAUCCCGAGGACAAGCGCAGUCAAGGGUGACUCGGGGGCUACGACCUUUCGACAUACCAGUGAGUGGGCUUUUGGUUUUAAAUAUAUAUGUAUAUGCUUGGUAUAUUUCCCAGAAAAUGUAUUUAAAUGAAUUAUGACUUAAAUUGCCAUGCCAAAUGUUUUACAUUUAGAAUAUGCAUAUGAUGUUUCCAUAUAUAUAUUUGUGGUGAUGUGGACGCUCAGGUAAGCCCCAAGUGAGUUUAUGAAUUGUGAAUGUGAAUAACGGUUGUGAUUAAUUGAGAAACAUUGAGCUCAUAAACCUGCACCCCGGUGUUAGUGAUUUAGCCAGAGAUAUAGCACAGGCUUGUAUAUAAUGUCACCUCCUGCACCAUAUGCUCACAUUGGAUCCAAUUUAGGUGCACAGUCUUGUCGUACAGACCAUCAUAGGUGGUUCCGACUCGUAGGUGACUAGCGAUUUAUCGCACAACUAUCAUGAGAGCGUAGCAUUGAGCAUAAUUAUAUUACACCCAGUCUUGUCGUACAGACAUUUAUAGUGGUUCCGAGUCAUGUGCAGUGUAGUGCCGUAUGGGUCACUUGUAGUGACUCCGGCUAGAUUGACUAAUGGGCUAUGAAUUCAGCCAUACAGACUUCUGUAGGGGUUUCGGCUAAUAUGUUAUUUUUCCAUGAAUUUAUUAUCACCUAAGUUACCUAUUCUGUUUCAUAUUUUGGCAUGGCAUACUUACGAAAAUGGAUAUGUGAAGCAUGAAUUGAAAUAUAUGUGUAUAUAUACUUAUAUAUUUAUAUUCCAUUUCUGGGAAAACUAUACAUGAUUUACUGCGAAGGGUUAGAGUAUUUGAUAAUGAAAUGGUUUUGAAAAGCUUUGUUUUUGCCCACUCACACUUUCUGUUUUGCGCUCCUCCAAGUUUUAGAUAAGCUUGUUCGUUGGUGGCUCACGAGGAUUGACUAGAGGUUAUGACAGACUAUCACAAAUGUAAGGCAUCUUUGGAUGCCGUUUAAUUAGUACUUGUUUUCUGGACUAAACUUAAGCUACUUAUGCUCUGAUUGUGUAUUCACACAUUUUCUAGUACUUACCUUAGCUAGUACUCUUAUGAAUUAGUUUUUUUAUUAUUCGUAUUCUCUAUUAUAAUUAUUGCUUCCGCACUGUGCACAUGGCUACGUCACCUUCACGUGACAGCCAACAAGCCUUGAUUCGGGUCGCGGUGUGUCAGGAGCAUUUGAACAACAAUAUUAUUUGAACGAGGAUUCAAGCACCAUUUCUUGUUGUAUCAUGCUAUUCCAUAACUAUAUAAUGAGCAAAGUUUUAAAAUAUGCUAAGCACUAGUCCGGUGACGGGCAUGGCCUAACGCUUAGGCGAUGACCUAGGCAGAUUUGAAUAAUUUAUUACAUAUCGUAUAAAUAAUUGUCUAUUUAUUAUAUAACUUAUAAUAUCUAAAAACAUAAAGUAUAACAUUGACUAUAAAACAUAUAAUAUAUAAAAAUAUUGAAAUUUUCUUUAUUACUUUGUUGAAUUUGAUGGUAAGAGAUAAAAAUCAAAUGUUACAAGUUUGUAAUACUUUACAAACAUUUUUUUUUUAUGCUCAUAUAAAUUUAUAGUGAGUUUUAAGAGAACUAACAAUGUCAAACAACUGACUUAAAAAAUAUUGAAAAUGUGGGCAAAUUAAUCAGACAAUAAUUGAAAAAUAAAACAAAUCUGAAUAUAAAUUAGCACAUUAAAUAGCAAGCUAGGUGGCACAAAUUGACUGGGUACAAUAGUUAAAAAAAAAUGGUAAAUUACAUUCUAAAACAUCAACUUUGGGUCGCAUAACAAUCUCAUACCUCAUGUUUUAAGCAUUUCAAUGUCAUACAUCAACUUACGAAUUUAUUACAAUGUUAGACCUCCGUCAAAUUUUUCUAUUAUGUUUGAUGUUAAAUGCUGACAUGGAACAUGUGGGUCGAUUCCUUGCCUAACUGAACUCCACGCUGGCUUAAUUCCUCCAUGUGGAAUAAGAAGAAAUUUGGGUAAAUUACAUAGUAGCCCCUCAGGUUUGAGGUCUAUUGCAAUCUUAUACAACAUCUUUAAAACAUUUCA
rnacentral:lncRNA from 1 species